GACGAGCGCUGGCGGCGUGCUUAACACAUGCAAGUCGAACGCUGAAGCCCUUUCGGGGGUGGAUGAGUGGCGAACGGGUGAGUAACACGUGGGUAAUCUGCCCUGCACUCUGGGAUAAGCCUUGGAAACGGGGUCUAAUACCGGAUAGGACACAUCGCCGCAUGGUGUGUGUGUGGAAAGUUCCGGCGGUGCAGGUUGAGCCCGCGGCCUAUCAGCUUGUUGGUGGGGUGAUGGCCUACCAAGGCGACGACGGGUAGCCGGCCUGAGAGGGUGACCGGCCACACUGGGACUGAGACACGGCCCCGACUCCUACGGGAGGCAGCAGUGGGGAAUCUUGCGCAAUGGGCGAAAGCCUGACGUAGCAACGCCGCGUGGGGGAUGACGGCCUUCGGGUUGUAAACCUCUUUCGACCGGGACGAAGGGUGACUGACGGUACCGGUAGAAGAAGCACCGGCUAACUACGUGCCAGCAGCCGCCGCCG
rnacentral:rRNA from 1 species